rnacentral:rRNA from 1 species
AGUGAAGCGGCAAAAGCUCAAAUUUGAAAUCCUGCGGGAAUUGUAAUUUGAAGGUUUCGUGGUCUGAGUCGGCCGCGCCCAAGUCCAUUGGAACAUGGCGCCUGGGAGGGUGAGAGCCCCGUAUGGCGCACGCCGACUCUUUGCACCGCGGCUCCGACGAGUCGAGUUGUUUGGGAAUGCAGCUCUAAGUGGGUGGUAAAUUCCAUCUAAAGCUAAAUAUUGGCGAGAGACCGAUAGCGAACAAGUACAGUGAUGGAAAGAUGAAAAGCACUUUGAAAAGAGAGUGAAACAGCACGUGAAAUUGUUGAAAGGGAAGGGCUUGCAAGCAGACACGGUUUUACCGGGCCAGCGUCGAAAAGGGGGGAGGAACAAGAACUCGAGAAUGUGGCGCGCACCUUCGGGCGCGCGUGUUAUAGCUCGUGUUGACGCCUCCAUCCCUUUUCGAGGCCUGCGAUUCUAGGACGCUGGCGUAAUGGUUGCAAGCCGCCCGUCUU